rnacentral:rRNA from 1 species
UACGUAGGGACCAAGCGUUGUUCGGAAUUACUGGGCGUAAAGGGCGCGUAGGCGGUACUUCAAGUCAGGCGUGAAAGCCCCGGGCUCAACCUGGGAACCGCGCUUGAGACUGGAGAACUAGAGUUCGGGAGAGGAUGGUGGAAUUCCCAGUGUAGAGGUGAAAUUCGUAGAUAUUGGGAAGAACACCGAUGGCGAAGGCAGCCAUCUGGACCGACACUGACGCUGAGGCGCGAAAGCGUGGGGAGCAAACAGG